UACGAAGGGUGCAAGCGUUACUCGGAAUUACUGGGCGUAAAGCGUGCGUAGGUGGUGAGUUAAGUCUGUUGUGAAAGCCCCGGGCUCAACCUGGGAAUGGCAAUGGAUACUGGCAAGCUAGAGUGCGGUAGAGGGUAGUGGAAUUCCCGGUGUAGCGGUGAAAUGCGUAGAGAUCGGGAGGAACACCAGUGGCGAAGGCGGCUACCUGGACCAGCACUGACACUGAGGCACGAAAGCGUGGGGAGCAAACAGG
rnacentral:rRNA from 1 species